rnacentral:tmRNA from 1 species
GGGGGUGUAAAAAGGUUUCGACAAGGUUUCGAAAGAUUUUGAGAGCAGGCAGAGGUAAGGCACCUCUUUAAAAACCGAAAAAUUGCCAAAACAAAUUUUGUCCCAGCUCUAGCAUAAAGAGCUGGCGCUUCUCUUUCGAUUCUCGCUAAAGAAAGAGAAAGCGUCAUAAAAAAGCGAGAAAGUUCAUUAAAAAUCUAUUGUUGAUGGAAUAGAAAGAUUGUCAAUGGUCUUUCUAUUCCGAAAAAAUAAACAUUGACUAAGCCUGUAGGGCUCAAAAUCGAGUAGAAACCUUGGACCUGGGUUCAAGUCCCAGCACCUCCACAA